rnacentral:rRNA from 1 species
GAUGAACGCUGGCGGCGUGCCUAAUACAUGCAAGUCGAGCGAACAGACGAGGAGCUUGCUCCUCUGACGUUAGCGGCGGACGGGUGAGUAACACGUGGAUAACCUACCUAUAAGACUGGGAUAACUUCGGGAAACCGGAGCUAAUACCGGAUAACAUGUUGAACCGCAUGGUUCAACAGUGAAAGACGGUCUUGCUGUCACUUAUAGAUGGAUCCGCGCCGCAUUAGCUAGUUGGUAAGGUAACGGCUUACCAAGGCAACGAUGCGUAGCCGACCUGAGAGGGUGAUCGGCCACACGGGAACGGAGACACGGUCCAGACUCCUACGGGAGGCAGCAGUAGGGAAUCUGCCGCAAUGGGCGAAAGCCUGACGGAGCAACGCCGCGUGAGUGAAGAAGGUCUUCGGAUCGUAAAACUCUGUUAUUAGGGAAGAACAAAUGUGUAAGUAACUAUGCACGUCUUGACGGUACCUAAUCAGAAAGCCACGGCUAACUACGUG